UUCUGUUUAUUCUUCUACUUUGCGAUUUUGUGCCUUUGUUAUAACUUGAACGUUUAAUUCAAAUUGGUAAAAUUCGAGGUUUUACAUCUCAGAAGUGGGAUACGUCUUAUCGCCUGCACCUGCUUUGCUGUCCAAUCCAGCACGGCACAAGAUUGUGUAUCGAAGAGUUUGUUUGUUUGUGUGUGAGAUGACGCUACCAUCUGCCAUUGCAAUGCGCAAAAACGAGAAGCUUCUGUGUGUGCUUGCCGGUAUAGGCAGCCAAUUCGAUGUUUAGGCAACGAUUUGCCUCAUGGCUAGACCAGAUUACGCCAGAUUCACCAGCCACAACGAUAUCGAUCCCUGCAACCCCAAAGACACCAGCCUUGCAUUUAGUGUGGCCGCCAUCUUGUUCAUCUUGCACGACAAUGACGACACCGCCAUUUAGUAUGAAUACAGCCGCUGGCUAUUCUUUUAUCAUCGCUCAUACUUGGAAUACUGGAAAAGCUUCGCGCAUCACUUCUGUUAUUGCAUGUGCACCGCACGCCGUGUUGUCAUCGCCUCCGAUUCAUCGUGUGUAUUGCCUUCCGCCACUUAAUGGAUUGACCCCGCUACCACCCUCUACCGCCGCGUCAUGUUCGAGUGCUGUGGCACCAGUUGUAGCAUGCUGAGCUGUUGAACAACAAUCAUCGUGGUGUCGUUCAGUAUUCAGGUUCAUCCUGAUCGACAUUGUCCUUAUGCUUGGCUGUAACUUCUGUAAACGUCAGCAAGACUUCAGGAGGAGAUGCCGAUCAGCGGCAGCAGUACUUACACCCACUAUGAGAUUGAUUCAACCGCACGCAUCACAUGACGACAUCAUUCCGGAUCAACACCUUUCGAUAUCAGCAUCGUCCUCAUGCUUGGCUGUAACUUCCGUAAACUUCAGCAAGACUUCCGGAGGAGAUGUUGUAUUGCAGAUUUCUACAGUAAAGCCGCUCAAAUUGAGGUCAAUUUGUUUGUCAGGAUAGCCGAGCUGUAAUAUCCUGGAGAUUUGACCCCUGAUAAGACCAUAGUGCCCAAUAUGCCGGAUCGGAAUAUGACCAUCACCGUGACAACUGUGCGAUAAUCUGAAUGUCAAAAUAAAGAUCAUUCGUUUACGGAUCGUUGUACUGACAACA